CGGAAUAUUUGAAGGAUUCUCGCGUGAGGAAAAUUUUUCACAAUAUGCAAACCUUUUGCCUCAGAUGAAUUUCUUCUUCGCGUUCAUCUUCAUCUCCUUCAUCCGUUGUUGAGUUCAGUGUGCUUCUAUGUUGUCAUCGUCUCUCCUCUGUUUUAGGAACAAGUCCUUGCGAAGAUGAUCCACCUUGGUAGAAAAAUGAUGCUCGAGGUUUUUGCAACACUGCGACGUAUAAGUGUAUGGUGUCCCAAACACUAGUGGCGUAAAAUUAAGUGGAAAUGUCGUCGACGGUGGAUACAUCGUCGUCAGCGAAUACGUCAAAGUCAUCAGAGUGUGAUAUGUUGGGGACAAAGUCGGUGAAAAAACCCUAUACCUACAGAAGGUGUAGAAACAUGAAAUGAAAGUAGUGCAAAUAAAAUACCUGAACCAGAAUAAGUCGAGCCAUACUAAUCGGGAAGUGGUGCGGAUGGCGAUGCCUCUUGUUGCAUUGGUGCUGAUGAUGGACCCACCUUGGCACCUGCUCCAGACCUUGGAGUCCUAGGCGACCGUCGUAGCCUCCUCGAAUGAAGUUGUCUACGCCUCGCCUCCACUGAUAGUAGAAAUGGCUUGCCAUGGUGUCUAAACCAUGACAUGUACGAUAAUUCAUGAGCGAUAAUGUGUUCGCGAUUAGGUAAAAAGUCAUACCUGUGCUCCCCCAUGUUGAUAUAUUGCACGUGAAAUUUAGCUCAAUCUUCCUCGAUUCUCCCCCACAAGUGGAUAUUGUGCAAGUCUCCAAUAUUUUGGGGUGGUAGCAGAACCGUUUGCCUAAACCUGAAUUGCCACCUAACUCGAUUGGAUUCGUGCAUCUCCACCAUAGCGUAAACUAUUACGUACUAGAUGUUGGGAUUCACCAAGAAUUCGGGUAGGAUGCAUGCUUAAAUUCUCGGAUCAGAGUAUGACAUCUA
rnacentral:lncRNA from 1 species